rnacentral:piRNA from 1 species
UGCCAUAUGGACUGAAGGGGCUGGAC